CAAUUGGGUUAUUGUGUGCCGGUCAUUACAUCAUUACAGGUCAUGUAAACCGGCCAUAAAGCCCUCAAC